rnacentral:RNase_P_RNA from 1 species
GCGGAGGGACAGGAGGUCGCGGGCCGGCCGUCGGCAGGACCGCGCGGCGCGGCUCGAGGAAAGUCCGGGCUCCGCAGGGCACGGUGCCGGGUAACCCCCGGGCGCCGCGAGGCGAUGGAAAGUGUCACAGAGAACAGACCGCCGAUGGCGGCGGAUUCCGCCGCACAGGCAAGGGUGAAACGGUGGGGUAAGAGCCCACCGCGCUCGCUGGUAACAGCAGCGGCACGACAAACCCCGCUGGGAGCAAGGCCAAAUAGGGAGCGAGCGGUGGCCCGCCGCGCUUGAGCUCCGGGUAGGCCGCUUGAGACGUCGGGAGACCGGCCGUCCCAGACAGAUGACCUCCGCGGAGCGUAGGCACGCUCCGUUACAGGACCCGGCUUAUCGUUCCUCCGCACCC